CUUUUUUUUUCCUUUAUAUUCUCACCGGCGGCCUCGCUGGGAAACCAGAAGGCAUCAAACUGAGAUGAUUCCGAGCCGGAGUUGCUCUGUCUCCGAAAUCAUUGGAUAACAGAGCGAGACGCUGAACGAAUUGAGAAAAAUGAGAAGAACCUCUUUGAUCGCUUCGUCUUUUUUCUCGUUAGAGUUAGCUCCUCGAACCUUGAAGUCCCGCAUCAAUGCGGUUCGCCCCUCCUCUGAUCCGUCCUAUAUAUCUUCUCUUAAGCCAUCAGGACUACUCACACAGUACCGGAAUCAAGUUCAACAAGGGAAGCUACAACAUGAUCCUGACCAGGAAACAGUUGCGAUGGAAUUAGAGAAGUUACUUGGGAGGCUGGACCAGUAUGAAAAGGACAUGGAGGAAUAUCAUGUAAACCUGGCUAAUUGGGAGAAGGGCAGGGAGGAUGAGCGUCGAAAACUCUUGAUGGAGGAAGCUGAGUUGAAGCAGCAGGGAGGCAUGUGGGAUUCAGUUAACAAGCAUCGAAGUAAAUUUGUUGAAAGAUGGAUGUUCAGGAAAAAAACUGAAAAUGUAGAAUCGGGAGUGGGGAAAUGGGUUUCAUAUCUCAACCGAGAGAAGAAGCUAGAUUCUCUUGUUGGUCGCCGUCCAACUGCUCCUCCUGCCCCAAAAGGACUAUAUAUAUAUGGCAAUGUUGGAAGCGGGAAGACAAUGCUUAUGGAUAUGUUUUAUAGUGCCACUGAUGGAAUUAUUAAACAUCGAAGAAGGUAUCACUUUCAUGAGGCUAUGCUUAAAAUUAAUGAACAUAUGCAUAAGAUAUGGAAGAGCCAGGUGGAGGAAAAGUCUUUGCAGUCUAGCGUUUCUAGUUGGAUUAUGAAUCUUCCGUUUGAUACAAAAGUUAAGGAAUGGUUGGCUGCAGAAGAAAGAUACAAGCAAGACAUACAGAUGAAAAAUAUUCUCCCCGCUGUAGCAGACAAGUUUCUCAUUGACCAGCGAUCAGAUCAAAGAGGAGCUAGCAUUCUUUGCUUUGAUGAAAUACAGACUGUUGAUGUAUUUGCCAUUGUGGCCUUAUCUGGAAUUAUGAGCAGAUUGUUGAGCACUGGAACUGUUCUUGUGGCCACCAGUAACCGAGCACCAAAUGACUUAAAUCAGGAUGGUAUGCAGAGGGAGAUAUUCCUUAAAUUUGUAGCCAAAUUGGAGAAGCAUUGUGAGAUUGUUCUGAUAGGAAGUGAGAUUGAUUAUCGCCGUCUUAUAGCACAAAGAUCUAUUGAUCAGGCUCAUUACUUCUGGCCCCUAAAUAGCAUUGCUGUAAAUAAGUUUGAGAAAAUAUGGUGUGAAGUCACCAACCAUUUGGGAGGACAAAUUUAUACAGAUACUAUUCCUGUGAUGUUUGGCAGAACAUUGGAGGUUCCUAAUUGCUGUGAGGGAGUGGCAAGGUUCACAUUUGAAUAUCUCUGUGGUCAGCCGGUAGGUGCAGCAGAUUAUAUUGCAGUAGCAGAGAAUUAUCAUACCGUCUUCAUAUCUGAUAUUCCGAAUAUGAGCAUGCAAAUCCGUGACAAGGCACGGCGGUUUAUCACACUCAUUGAUGAGUUAUACAAUCAUCACUGCUGCCUAUUUUGUUUAGCAGCUUCUUCAAUUGAUGAAUUAUUUCAAGGUACUGAAGAGGGUACACUUUUUGAUUUGGAGAGUUUCCAGUUUGAAACAGAGAUAGAAGGCGGGAAACUUCGCAGAGAUGUUUUAGCAGAAGGCAAUGUGAGCUCAGGAGGUACCCCGUCUGGUAUUAUAUCAAUGCAAUCCGGCCAAGAAGAGAUGUUUGCUUUUCGCCGAGCAGUCUUCAAUAGGCGUUCGUAAAAUCGGCAACCGAAUGCCUUCAGAAUUGGCUCUAAAGUUCUUUCCCCCUUCAAAUGAGAUUAGGGCUUCAGAGUAAGAAGAUAGCAACCAGCAUUUCUCCUGCAGCACUCACCUUCGGCAGCCACGGAACAGAUUCGACACUCACCUUCGGCAGCUACGGAACAGAUUCGACACUCACUUUCGGCAGCCACGAAGAGAGGUUACUCUUCCCUUGAGUUUUUCUCAUAUUCGAACUCUUUUGAAAUAGUUCUCUUAUUUUUGUAGUGAAUCAGUUACAAUAGAUUUGGAAAUGCCGAAUGCCCAAAAUAUACAUGCAUAGAAAUUGUAACCGAUUUUGGAAAUUGAAAACCCUAAGCCGAAAAUGAAAAUGCCCAAAUUGGAAAUUGGAAACCCUAAGCCGAAAAUGGAAAUGCCCAAAUUCCAAAUUGGAAACCCUAACCCGAAAAUGGAAAUGCCCAAAUUGGAAAUCUGAAACCCUAACCUGAAAAUGGAAAUGCCCAAAUUGGAAAUUGAAAACCCUAACCCGAAAAUGGAAAUGCCCAAAUUACAAUAGUUCUCUUUUCACUCGUUCAUUGUGAUGUUCCAGAGAAAUACCACUGAUUCAUUUGAAUGUCCUAUUUAGUUCAUUUUAACUGUUAAGACGGUUAAGAAUACUAAGAUAGUGAAUUUCAGCUAAUAUAUAAGAAGCUUAUAUACGGACCUGAUUGACAUUGUGAACUAAAUAGGACAUUCAAAUGAAUGCCCUGAAAACUUGUAAACUUGAAACCGAAUGACCAAAAUGAGCACAUAUUCAUCUAUUUUUGACAUACAUAGGUAUGAUUACUCUUUUGAGGGGGAGUCAUUCCUUUCUCAAUUAAUCAGUGUUUCAUUCCUUUCUCAAUUAAUCAGUGUUGUAUUUUUUUGCCCAAAUUUUUCUGAAGCUUAGAAUUAAUAUAAGAAUAUGUCAUCAUCCACAACGACGUCCUCUACCUCUUUUGGCAAACGAACUCCGGGUCAUCCAUUAUGCUUUUGUGAGAUUGAAGCCCCAAUGAGAUACUCAAAUACAAAAAAAAAUCCAGGUCGAGCCUUCCUAAGUUGUGCAAAGUACAACAAAGAGGGAAUUUCAUAUUGUAAGUAUUUCAAGUGGGUAGAGGAUGAUGAAUACAUGGCAUUGGAUCGUGAAGAAACUCACAAUGAAGUAUUAAGUAAGGAGAAAGAGCUGAAGAAACUAAUCAACGACUUUGAAAACAUCAUUAUUGAGUUGCGUAGAAGAGCAGAUGAGAUAAAUUUAGUACUGUCCAAUAGAAAUGAGGAGUUACUGAAGGAGUUGGUUGCUGUUGUACGUGAAGCUGAAAUAAGACGUUCACGCACAUUACUCUGUGUGUUUUGGACUUUUGCUUUUGUUGUAGCAUAUUACUUGAUAGUACAUAGGUGAAUUUCAUAUCAUAUUAGUGUUAGAAACCUCUUUUGGCUGCUGUGGUUAUGUAAUGUUAUUUACUACUUAGUUUUAAUUUUCAACUAUGUAACUAGCAGCUACUUAACAGGACUGGAACCAUCCUAAUUUUCUCAUUUUGUAUUGUACCCAUUUCUGAAUUGCUUUUGACUUCCUCAAUCCGGUCAUUUCUUGUUUAA